GACGAACGCUGGCGGCAUGCCUAACACAUGCAAGUCGCACGCGAAAGGGGGCAACCCUGAGUAGAGUGGCGGGCGGGUAAGUAACGCGUAGGAAUCUACCUGGUAGUGGGGGACAACCCGGUGAAAACCGGGCUAAUACCGCAUACGAUCCACGGAUGAAAGCAGGGGACCGCAAGGCCUUGCGCUAUCAGAUGAGCCUGCGUCGGAUUAGCUAGUUGGUGGGGUAAAGGCCCACCAAGGCGACGAUCCGUAGCUGGUUUGAGAGAACGACCAGCCACACUGGGAACUGAGACACGGCCCAGACUCCUACGGGAGGCAGCAGUGGGGAAUAUUGGACAAUGGGGGCAACCCUGAUCCAGCAAUGCCGCGUGUGUGAAGAAGGCCUUCGGGUUGUAAAGCACUUUCGGUGGGGACAAACAAGGUGGAGCUAACAUCUCCGCCUCUGAUGGUACCCAAAGAAGAAGCACCGGCUAACUCUGUGCCAGCCGCCGCGGUAAUAC
rnacentral:rRNA from 1 species